AAAGGAAUAGACGGGGGCCCGCACAAGCGGAGGAGCAUGUGGUUUAAUUCGAUGAUACGCGAGGAACCUUACCUAGACUUGAACGCAGAGGGAAUGACGUAGAAAUAUGUCAGUCUUCGGACCGUCUGCGAGGUGCUGCAUGGUUGUCGUCAGCUCGUGCCGUGAGGUGUUAGGUUAAGUCCUGCAACGAGCGCAACCCUUACCGUUAGUUACCAGCAUGUAAUGAUGGGGACUCUGGCGGAACUGCCCACGCAAGUGGAGAGGAAGGUGGGGAUGACGUCAAAUCAGCACGGCCCUUACGUCUAGGGCGACACACGUGCUACAAUGGGUGGUACAGAGGGCAGCUACACCGCGAGGUGAUGCUAAUCUCGAAAACCAUUCUCAGUUCGGAUCGGAGUCUGCAACCCGACUCCGUGAAGUUGGAUUCGCUAGUAAUCGCGCAUCAGCCAUGGCGCGGUGAAUACGUUCCCGGGCCUUGUACACACCGCCCGU
rnacentral:rRNA from 1 species